GGCACGGGCUGUGGGGACUGAGGGUGGACAGACGGUGUGGGACUGCAGGCUGGGACGCAGACCACAGGUAGGGGUGGUGUGAUCUCAGAAUGCUGUUACUGCUUGUAUUUGGCUUCAGGGUCAUGAUUUUCCCCCUGUCUUGUGCCUGUAAAACAUCUAUUUCGUCCCUAGCCUGAGCAGAGGGAAUCUGUUUGUGGAGUGGACAGCAAUGGUGGCCUUGCCAUUGGUGAGUCUGACCGCUGGGUCUACAGCGAGAUGCUGUUGUCAUCCUCCUCUGGACUGCCAUGAAAAGUGGACCCAAUAAGCACCUGGCUCCAAAGUCUGCCCACCUCUUGGACUCUUGAUACUCCUUAGCAGCUGUUGGCUCUGUUGCAUUUGUGGUAUUUGGUUGCAGUGCCCUCUGCAUACCUGACCCCAGGGAUAUGGCAGAAGAGGGUCAGACCAAGAUUGUAAGGGUCAUAUAGGGUGUGUAGGGGUGGAGUGUAUGGUCAGGCCGCUCAAGAUGGGUGUUCUCUUGCUCUCUGUACAUCCCCAGCUCGACCAGGCCCUGCUUCACUCACAUAACCAUCUAAUCCUCUUAAUCAUAGGCCUUAAUCAGUAACUACUAACUACCUAUGUGCUUGCCCCUGCCCCAGCUGCUGGUUUGCCUGGUAACUGAGGAGCCCACCUGAAGUCAAUUCCCCCUGUAACUGGUAGCCUCCUCCCCUGGAGUAGCGAAAACUGCUGCCGUGUCCUGCCUAUCGUCUUCCAUCCACAGUGGGGAGUCGCUCCAGGAUGUUGUUUUGGACACGUAAGAUCCCCUAUCCAACAAAUUGUUGUCAUCUCUGUCGCUGCCUCUGGGCUCUUCGGUCUCAAGGCUGGGCUACUAUAAGGCCCAACAGUCACGUGUCCUCCAAGAGACCCUUGCCAAACACAGGGUGAUUCCAAGUAAGCACUUGGCCCAGCCCUGCCGGCCUUCCCCCCAGGCCUCUGCUCUGUGCUCCCCACCCUGCCAAGCCCCCACCUGACAUCCCGUCUCCUCUUCUCCCGUAAGGCUGUUAGUGAGAAGUUCCCCUCCUCUCCUGCCUCCCUCCAGUCUCUCCUCUACUCAGCCCAACCGGGAAGAGUGAGAAUCCUCCAGCUGAAAUUCUCUGGGUCUAGAAACGGGUGUGAACAGUGUCCACAGAGGGCUCCCAGGAAGGAACAGCAGCGUUUGUCCUCUGGCUACAGAGCAUCAGCCUCCUGAUGCAGGAUCGAGUGCUGGGGAAGCCCUCGUGCAGCCCCAGUCUCUCAAAAUCCAACCUGCCACUAGCCCAGGCAGGCUGGCAUCAGCAGUGCAUGGGAAGCUGGAAUCUGACCCCUGGCGUUGGGCCUGGUCUCCAUGGCAGCCGUGGAUUUAUAACCGGGGCCUCCACCCAGCUUGGCGGACUUUCGACUUGAAGACUUGAAGCCGGGAGGAAGGGGAACAGGAAGGCGGUUCUGGGAGCAGCGAGCGCACGGGUGGCAGCCGGAGGCCCCGCGAUGGCCAAGUUUCUUUCCCAGGACCAAAUUAAUGAGUACAAGGAAUGCUUCUCCCUGUACGACAAGCAGCAGCGGGGGAAGAUGAAAGCCACUGACCUCCUGAUGGUGAUGAGGUGCCUGGGGGCCAGCCCGACGCCGGGGGAGGUGCAGCGGCACCUGCAGACUCACGGGAUAGACAGAAAUGGAGAGCUGGAUUUCUCUACUUUCCUGACCAUUAUGCACAUGCAAAUAAAACAAGAGGACCCAGAGAAGGAAAUUCUUUUGGCCAUGUUGAUGGCGGACAAGGAGAAGAAAGGCUACAUCAUGGCGUCUGAACUGCGGUCAAAACUCAUGAAACUGGGAGAGAAGCUCACCCACAAAGAAGUGGAUGAUCUUUUCAGGGAAGCAGAUAUUGAACCUAAUGGCAAAGUGAAGUAUGACGAAUUUAUCCACAAGAUCACCAGUCCUGUGCAGGACUACUGAAUGAGGAGAAAGCAAGAGAGCCUCCCCUGGGCCGGAAAACUCAGACUGAUGAAUCUUUAAAAAGAAAAGCAUUCCUUUCACUUGCGGGAGAUGGCAAACACAGCAAGAUGACAUACCUGACCACAGCAGAGGAGCACUUUUCACCAGAUGCUGUCAUCGACUCCCCUAAAGUCACCUUUCAAUCUACUCGAAUUUACUCCUCACAAGCACCUCAUGAGGUAUGUAAUUACUUUGGUCUCAUUUUGUGGAUAAGAACGUUUUUACAUUAAGCAAGUUGUAAGACAGAUUUUCUUUCUCAAAUUCCUUCAUUUCCCACUAUCUGUUCCAGAUUCUAACUCAGAGACUCCUGAGUGACAUGAGAGGGGAAGAGAUCUGAGGGGGUGUCUGACUGCUGGUGUGGAGGCUAUUACAGAAGGAUCAGCUCUCAUCCCUGGCUGCCAGGAAGUCAUUGUAAUCUGGCCCCUUCCAAGUCACAUUCUUGUCCAUAUUGCCCAAUGUGUAAUGCGACGAAGAGCAAGUAAACCAACAUGAAUAAAAUGCCUCAUUAUGAUAUCUAAACUUGGAGAAAAGUACAACAAGCAGGUGUAGAUAAAAAUAUGACAACAACACGAACACUUUGGGGAUCCACCCACUGUCUACACUAGAACAGAUUAUAACAUAAGGAUCCUGCAAAAUGUAUAGUACUGUGUUUUUUGUUUGUUUGUUUGUUUUGGCCAUUCCGCAAGGCAUGUGGGAUCUUAGGUCCCCAACUGGGGAUCGAACCUGCAUCCCCUGCACUGGAAGCGUGGAGUCUUAACCACUAGACCGCCAGGGAAGUCCCAGUACUGCGGUUCUUGAUAGUGAGUUUGGCAGUGGGCUAACAGGCAGUGAGAAACGGGGCUACACUGUCUAACAGAGUAGCUGCUAACCACCUGAUGUGGCUAUUUAAAUUUACUAAGAUUAAAUAAAAUGAAAAAUUCAGUUCUUUAGUCAUACUAGCCAAAUUUUAAAUGCUCCAUAACCACAUGUGGCUAGUGGCUACUGUACUGGUCAGAUUACAUUUCCCUAAUUGCAGGAAGUUCUAUUGGACAGAGCUGAAAUAGGGUUUUCAUAACAAUCACUAAGAAUCCACUCAACUAUCUCAGCUCCCAAGAUCCUUGCCAGUGACCCUGAAUUUUACUGUAGGAAAUGGGUGGAAGGCACUUUGUGCUUUUGUAUUAUAUUUUCUACAAUGAGCAUAUAUGGCUUUUUGUAAUUUAAAAAAUGUUCUCAGACUAUAUGGCUAAUAUACAAAUUAUUAAAUUACAAAGAUAAUGAGAACUAGUAAUUCUUUUUGAUAAUGUAAAUGAUUAUUAUGAACUCAAAAUACAUCGUAGAAAUGAGUAUACUGACAUU